GCUGGGCGUGGUGGCGCACGCCUGUAGUCCCAACUACUUGGAGGCUGAGGUAGGAGGAUCUCUUGAGCCCAGGAGAAGGAGGUUGCAGUGAGCGGAGAUCAUGCCACUGCACUCCAACCUGUGUGACAGAGCGAAACCCUGUCUCAA
ensembl:misc_RNA Metazoa_SRP Metazoan signal recognition particle RNA